GCAUAUCACUAAGCGGAGGAAAAGAAACUAACAAGGAUUCCCCUAGUAACUGCGAGUGAAGAGGGAAAAGCCCAGCACCGAAGGUAGUAUCCGUUUGGGUACCUACCAAUGUGGUGUUUUGGUCAGCUCGUAUGAGUGCGGCUCCAUCUCAAGUCCAGCAAUGAGUACGGUUUUUUGGACUUGGCCCAGAGCGGGUGAAAGGCCCGUUGAGGUGGAGAUCAGGUAUGUCCGCGCUUGUCGUGUUUGACCAUGGAGUCGGGUUGUUUGUGAAUGCAGCCCUAAGUGGGUGGUAAACUCCAUCCAAGGCUAAAUACUUGCACGAGUCCGAUAGCGAACAAGUACCGUGAGGGAAAGUUGAAAAGUACUUUGAAGAGAGAGUAAACAGUGCGUGAAGCCGCAUAGAGGUUAAACGGGUAGAGUUAAGCUGCGUGGAUCAUGGAUUCAGCUGGUGAACUUGACUUGUGCUUGGGCACAUUGUAUCGUCUUCUGAGUCUGCUUAACUGCAGGUUCCAGGUCUCCUGGGAUAUGUGAUGCACUAACUAGUGAUGCAUACUUGGUUGAUGAGAUGUCGGUUCGUUGGUGCACUUCCAUGGUUCCUUGACCACGAUCGGUGUCGUUGAAUUGCCCUCGUUGUCAAACUGUGGAUGUAGGCCUCCACCUAUGUCCUCGGUGUGACAGCACCCCUGCGAAUGCAGGUCGCAGUUGUCAGCGGGAAGUAAUUCAGUGGACCGGGACAGCGGCCUUGGUUGCCCUUGCAUGCUCUGCUAGAUGAUGUUGGGUAUGGUUAUUUGUGUGCCUGUGCAAACCGGCCCUGUGACUACACAAUGUUAUCUAGUUGGGUAUUGUUUGGGAAUCCUUAUUAUGGGCCAAAGUCUUUGCCGCGUGUUAAACUUUCUAUCCGA
rnacentral:rRNA from 1 species